UGCUCCCAUUCAGUGGUAGGGUCUACGUCCCUCUCCUUGGACCUGCAGGCUUUCGUGACUGCCCUGAGCAGCAGAGUGUGGCAGCAGUAAGGCUGCGUGACUUCUGAGGCUGGCUCAUAAGGGCUCUGUGAUGCAGGUUCUACCCUGCUCUCCUUAGCCAUUUGCUCUGGGUGAAAGCCAGCUGCCCUGCAGGAGGCUGCAAUACUGAGGCUGCCAUGCUGUCAGGAGGCCCAGGCCACAGUGGGGGGCCACAGGUUCUGGGGUGGCUCGUGAGUGACAGCAGUACUGGUAUGCUGGUGAGUGCCUCAGCAGGAGCUCCCUCUGUCCCCCUACCAACUCCCCGAUGUCUGGACGGCACCAGAGCCCGCCUGGGAGGCCACGAGCUAACACUCUCAAGAGGAAAACAGGGGGAUCAAACCAAUGACCCAAGGGCCUACAGCUAAGAACUGCUGGAGCCAGGCUCUGAACUGAGCUCUGCCUGACUCCAGAGGUGGUUUCUACCACCAGGCAAUACAACAGGGAGACACGCAGGUGUGUCAGAGAGCAGUCCUCACAGUGCGAGCACAGAAACCAGAGGCCAAGGCUGAAGAUUUUCCUGGACUCGCGGUGCUGCCCAGGAAUCUUCUGAGAAAACCUGUCAGUUGGUAAAGCCACGUGGAGGCGGGGCUAACAAAAUCUGGAAAUGUCUUCACCAGUUCCAAAGUACACACAAACAUUACUUGCCCUCUCUGGGGGUCAACGUUCUUUAUGCUGAGAAGGUUUCUCCAUUUCCUUUCUCACAGCCUAUUUGUUGGUGUGGAACUGCCUGUGAAGUCAUUCUGCAGGGGUGGAAAGUGGGGGCCAGCUCUCUGUGGGCAACAGGGACCAUCCCAGAGACAAAGGGCAGCCUCAGCCCACAGACCACUUCGGACUUGAAUCAAGGCCUCAAAGGGCGAGACCUGGGCCACUGUCAAUGUGAGGGCAGGGCUGAAGCCAGGGAUUUGGAAAAUUGGUGGAAAACACUCCUAUGAGCUGGGGCUUGCUCUGCUGUGGAAAACUGCCAGCAUCAGCACUUCUCCCAAGGCUGUGCCGAGUCAGCAGUCAGCCCACUCUGGAGCUGCCUCUGAGGACCAGGUGCCUACAGGACCCUGUAAGGAGCUUGAAGAGUUGUGGCUGACGGAGGGAUUUCUGUCCUGGGCUCUAGGAAUUCUAGACUGGGCCCUUCCUCAAGGAGCUUUCAGUCUGGCGGAGCAGACAGACAUGGGCAAAUAAGCCCACAACUAACUGUGCCAUCACUGCAGAAGGAAGUGCCACGGAGGAGCAUGAGGGCCAGUUGCAGGAAGGAGCCAGGGCCAGCAUGUGCCUGUAAAAGCCAGAUAGUAAAUAGUUCACGCUCUGCAGGCCACAGGGUCUUUGUCCCAAGCACUCAACUCUGCCACUGCUGCAUGAAAACAGCCACAGGCGAUAUGUCAACCAAAGAGGGGUGGUUGUGCCCAUAUGAAAACAGAGGGUGGAUCUGUCCCACAGUUUGCCACAGCCUGGCUGUUAGACGGCCUGACCUGAUUGGGGGUGGGGGUGAUAGUGGGGAGAAGGCUUCCCCGAGGCAGUGAUAUUUAGCUAAAAGCUGCAGGCUGAGGCAAUGAUGGAGGCAGAAUCACAAUAUGACAAUUAUGAUAAUCACAUCACCAUGAUCAAGUUCCACCUAACACGUGUGUUCUAUGUUGCGCACUGUGCUAAUAACAACACUACCCUGUGAAGGAGGAAGAUUUUAUGCCCACUUUACAGAUAGAGACACUGAGGCUUGGCAGUAUGCUGAGUAGUCUGUUCACACAAUUCAGCUGCAUUUUUUGC
rnacentral:lncRNA from 1 species